GAUGAACGCUAGCGGCAGGCCUAACACAUGCAAGUCGAGGGGUAGAAGGAGCUUGCUCCUUUGAGACCGGCGCACGGGUGCGUAACGCGUAUGCAAUCUACCUUGUACAGGGGAAUAGCCCAGAGAAAUUUGGAUUAAUGCCCCAUAGUAUAUAACCUUCGCAUGUUGGUUAUAUUAAAGUUCCAACGGUACAAGAUGAGCAUGCGUCCCAUUAGUUAGUUGGUAAGGUAACGGCUUACCAAGACGAUGAUGGGUAGGGGUCCUGAGAGGGAGAUCCCCCACACUGGUACUGAGACACGGACCAGACGCCUACGGGAGGCAGCAGUGAGGAAUAUUGGUCAAUGGUCGCAAGACUGAACCAGCCAUGCCGCGUGCAGGAAGACGGUCCUAUGGAUUGUAAACUGCUUUUAUACAGGAAGAAACCCUCCCACGUGUGGGAGCUUGACGGUACUGUAGGAAUAAGGAUCGGCUAACUCCGUG
rnacentral:rRNA from 1 species